GGUUACCUCAAAGAUCAGUAUUUAGGCUACUUCUUUAAUGUAUAAAUUUCAGUGCCAUGGUUAUAUCAGGGAAGUCUCGGCCAGAUUUACACAUAAUAGGCAAAAGAUUUUGAAUCUAUAGUAUACAAAUUCAAAUUCCAUAUUACAGUGAACAAGAUUUAAAAGACCACCCUAUAAAAAGAAAAAAAACAUUUUAGUCAAGAGGACAGAGUAAACUGUUUCAAUGCACUUAUUUAUAACUAAGUCACUGAGUAAUGGAGAAAUGCAACAGCUAUGUAAGCUUUAAAUUAAAUGUACCAAGUCUCAUCUGAAAAUCAACUUGGUGCAUAACUUUCUUUGAUCAAAACAGAGAAGGCUUUUAGAAUGAUGAUGAUGCACAGUGCCAUGUAGGCUUUGUCUCACUCAUAGACUGUAAAUAUUACUGGACGAACCCUGAGUGACGUCACCCGUCUGUUACGUAGGCAUCAAAUGAGUCUAAUCGACGGGCGCAUCCAUAUUGGAAUUGCAGUCUUAUUGGGGUUUAUACUUUUAUACAACACAGUUAAAACUAAUUAUCCUCAACCCAAAUAUUUUAUUAAAGUCUUAAAACUACACUUUUUAAAAAAUAUCUAAUUAUGGUUAUUAGUUAUUUGUCAGAGCAGUUUGACCUUGUCAGGGUUAGCAGAGCAAUACAUUAGCAAAGUUUUAUCAUAACAUGUAAGAAACAUUUUGAGGCUAAUCUUUACAUUUAAAUUCUCACACUGUGUUACAAAUCAUUACUUGGGUGUAAUUACAUGUUUAAGGAUAAUAAGUUUGUUUUCUUACAAUAUAAGACAGAGCUUUGGCGUCUUUUUUCUUUUCGUUGAUGUUGAUAAAACUAUUGUUGGACCAUAGACUGUAAAUAUGAGACAUCCAGAAGAAAUCAAUAUUACAAAGCAUACAGUUCAUGUUACUGUUCUGACAAAAAGAGUAAUGUCUGUGUCUUCUAUUUACUGAUGUCAACAGCGAUGUGGGUGAACAUGACAAUUGAUAAAUAAAUAUUUUGUAUUUAUUAUAAGAUAUUUGUUUUCUAUAGAACCCCAUGAAGUCAUGGAGUCUGUGGCCAGUGAUGAAUGCCAAGUGUCAGCUGCACACCAAAAACUACACAGUGUGGAUUAUUGGUGACUUGUCCGUCAAGGUGCCCAGAGAGCUGCAGAGACAGAGGAAGAAACCUGGGCCUCAACAACAUCUGUAUGUGUUGGUUCUUCUGGGGUGGACUUCGGUUGAAAGGCCUGCUUCCCUUCUUCAACAACUCACUGCGAGGAAGGUCUCCCCCGGAUGGCCUCAGUGAUGUCACCCACAUGUUCCUGCAUCGAUGGCGGUCUCCAUGCUUGAAAUGCUGUCUCACCCUUACCUUCAUUCAACCUAGCGACAGGCUGAGAGCUGGAGCUGAGGUGUGUUUUAAACCUCCUGACAAACAGUUACACCGCACCCACCUGUCAAUCAGGUCAGCUACACGCCUUAUUGUGAAUAACUCUUAUCCUUCAUCAAAUCAAAACUGAUGAGUCAUCAAAACAUCCCCCCCCCCCCCCCCCGUACAGUCUGAGAGACAUGAGCUAAUCAGACCUAUUUGUUUUUUUUGUACCAAGCUGUAAACAUGUUAAUCUCUGCUGUAAAAACAGGGUUUUUGAAUGUGGUUUUUCAGAUUAAAUAAAUAUUUCUAUAUAAAUGCA